CAAGUUUAGUAGCUCGUUCACCUGCACGGCGUGCACUUGUGUAUUUAGUCGCUUUCAAUCCCGGGUGUAGUGAUUCACACAACUUACGCACAUGGAUUUAGUUUUUGUUUUCACUAGCUGGAUAUGUUCCACUAUUUGUUGAUUCACCAAUCACACGCACUUAAAAAAGCACUGCAUCAGCACGUUGUCUUGGCUUGGCACUGGUUUGUUUAGUUGCACGUGCCAAGUCUUGUUUCAUUGGGUCCUUAGUUAUGCAUAGGUAGAAUAGAAAAGCAUAGAUUAAGUGCACAACACAACCUCCGCCAUUUUGCUUCCAUUAUGUUUUGUAUUAUUUACACAUAGUCGACGCUCACAAACCGUUUCUAUCCAACGAAUCCUACGUUUCCACCUCUUCACACAAUUUCCAAACGCCCCAUCAAUCCUAAUGACCCCUACUGAAUAUCAACUAAUGAAUAAAUAUUUUUUUUCAGGAACAUUGUAAUCAAAUCUGAUGUGAUUUCUGUACGUGAUGCCUGUUAGACUUAAGUUGAAAGCUGUCGUCACUUUGUUAUUCAAACGCCUUUUUUUUUUCGUUCUCGUUUCUCUGCGUUUAGGGAGGGCAAUCUCUGUGGGCCGAAGAGGAUACUGGACAUCGGGGAUCACUGCCGGAGUCAACAGGAUCAUCGCCAAUUAUUAUCCGGUACUAUUCUUAAACAUUUAAGUGUCUAAUUGUGUUUUUUUUUUGUAUUAAAAGGAAGGCCGACAGCACCACCGAAUAGGACGGCUGGAGUGCUGGACAACGAGGAUUGCCGCCAUGACCAUUGCCCAGAGUUGCCAAGAGGGCUUGCAUCAACACCGAAGAGGACUAAGGAUCACCUACAGGGCCAUCGGCCAGAGUUGCUAAGAGGGCCCACAUCACACCUGAAGAGGACUGCAAGACAACGAGAAUCGCCACCAAAUCGUCGCGCAGUAUUUUCAAGAGGGAUCCAACACCACCGAAGAGGACCAUAGGACAACGAGGAUCGCUGCAGGAGCAACCAGAAUCAUCGCCAAGGAUUCUCUGGUGUAAGCCUUAAACAUUAAAAUGUCUAAUUCUGUUUUUUUUUUUUUGUAUUUAUAGGGGGCUCAAAUCACCACCGAAGAGGACUACAGGAGAUAGAACAACGAGGAUCGCCACCAUGACCGUUGCCCAGAGUUGCCAAAGGGCUCACAUUACCACCGAAGAGGACCAUAGGACAACGAAGAUCGCCAUCAUGACAGUCGCCCGCAGUUGCCAGGAGGGCUUGCAUCAACGCCGAAGAGGACUACUGGGCAAUGAGGAUCGCCACCAAAAUCGUCGCCAAAAGGGUCCGCAACACCACCGAGGAGGACGGAUGGACGUCGGGGAUCGCCGCAGGAGCAACCAGUAUCAUCGCCAAGGGUUCUCAGGUGUAAGCCCUUAAAAAUUUAAGUGUCUAAUCAUGUUUUGUGUGUGUGUGUGAAUCUAGGAGGGCACAGAGCACCACAGAAGACGAUUACCGAACAUCGAGGAUCGCCGCCGUACAUCGAGGAUCGCCGCCCAGCCCCGAGAUUCACGCCUAUUAUUAGGAUGGAAAAGCAAAAGAUGGUAUGGUUGAGUAUUGCCAAAUCGGUAUUCGCUUACUUUAUUUCAUACUGUGAUUUGUGUGUUUAUUACAAAUAUGUACCUUUAUUCCAUAUUCCCUACCAUUAUUACCAUCACGUAUUUUGGCUUAUGGUUUUACUUUACAUUGAGCACCCAAAUUCACUACAGCACUAUCUCACGGUACGUUCGUUGUUUGUGUUAACUUUUAUACACCCAGUAGGGAUGUUUGUUUUUAGAUAAUGCAACCCAGCUUAUAUCGGUAUCUCACUUAGUCUUCGGUUGGUGUAGGUUUACUAACACUAAUUUAAACACUAACACUAAAUUGCUUUCAGAACAACCAUGAAAACAAAAUAAAUUGAUCAACUUUG